AUGUAUGCAACCACCAGGACCCAGAAGCAACUUCCACAUUCCUGUUUAUUGCCCUCAAAAUAUUUCAGAGAGGUGCUUGAUAGCCACAGCAAAGAUGAUGUCAGAGCAGAGCACGUUCAGCAGCCUUCUCCCAUUUCCAAGGCCUACAUGGCUCAGGGUCCCAGGGUCACCCUGCCACAGCUAGACCACAAAGAUGCUGCGGGAAAAGAGGAACGGGUAUGUACAGCACAUUGACCAAUGCCAACAUUAGCCCAACCUUGCUAAUGAAGAGUGGCUGCUCACAAAACAAGGGAAUCUGCCCAUGAAAGUCCACUGUGAGCCAAGCCACUUGUCACCCAGGGGUGGGGUAUUCCCUUUGUGGCCCCAUACAGAGGGUCAGUGUCAGGCCUAAUACUGCUAAUAGCAGCUGCCAAACUGGCAACUGCUACUCAAUUCACAACUGUUAAUACAGUGGGGACCCCUGACCAGCUCAAGGCCUCGGGAAGUUGCAUGCCUUAAUGUCCCCACCCCUACUGUUGGACUCUUGCUUCCUAAAACCUGUAAGUCUACCCCCUGUAGCUGGCAGUCCCCAGUGUUAAUGGCAUUUGGAGACUCACACCCAUGAACUGAAGUCUCAAAAGGACAGCAGAGGCCCAAUGGACUAGUGCCAUAUGGUACCAAGCUACAGCAAACAUGGACCUCUGUUCCUGCAACUACAUCAGUAACCCAAGCUUGGGGAAAGUGGCCCUAAUAACUUUCAUAUAGGAAAGCAAUUUCUGUAUGGCCUUUGAUUACUGACACCUCCCACUGACAUCAGGGGACAAGUAGAAUGACUGGCUGGACCAAUAUAAAUAUUUCUUGUGCAUGCACAUUUGCAGAGGGGCAAGUAGCAGAGUGAGGAGGACAAUUAUCAAAACAAAAGGAAGCUGUAUAUUGUAAAAAUAACACAUGUGGUGGCACAUAGGCAGUCAGCUAGUAUACAUGCUAGCAGUUUAAGCACACAUGAUGCCCCUAAAUUCCCCGGCUUCUCUUUGUGCUGGGUCCCACACCGUUUUGCUGCGAUUUCUUUGUGGGAAAUGGAUCUGCAGGCAAAGAAGCCUCACAACUGUAUGCAAACUUCCAUGACCACCAUCCCAAUGAUUAACUUGCAAGGGAAUAUGGAAUGCAUAUUGCAGCAAUGCCUGGGACAUGGAGUGCACAGUGCAGAGGUCUUUAGUGUGUGCUAGAAGAGGUGUUAUAGGCAAGAAAGAGUGGA
rnacentral:lncRNA from 1 species